GGAUCGUUGGCCGAGUGGUUAAGGCGAUAGACUUGAAAUCUAUUCUUGAAAGAGUCAUAGGUUCAAAUCCUGUACGUUCCG